GACAGAGGGUGCAAACGUUGUUCGGAAUUACUGGGCGUAAAGCGCGUGUAGGCUGCUCUGCAAGUCGGAUGUGAAAGCCCUGGGCUCAACCUAGGAAGUGCACUCGAAACUGCAGAGCUUGAGUCUCGGAGAGGAUCGCGGAAUUCUCGGUGUAGAGGUGAAAUUCGUAGAUAUCGAGAGGAACACCGGUGGCGAAGGCGGCGAUCUAGACGAUGACUGACGCUGAGACGCGAAAGCGUGGGGAGCAAACAGG
rnacentral:rRNA from 1 species